rnacentral:rRNA from 1 species
AGCGAACGCUAGCGGCAGGCUUAACACAUGCAAGUCGAGCGCCAGGUUUCGGCCUGGAGCGGCGAACGGGUGAGUAACACGUAGGUCACGUACCCUAUGGUGGGGAAUACCCCGGGGAAACUCGGAUCAAUGCCCCAUAUGUCCGAAAGGAUGAAAGCGCUUCGGCGCGCCAGAGGAUCGGCCCGCGGCCCAUUAUUUAAUCCUAGUUGGUGAGGUAACGGCUCACCAAGGGUACGAUGAGUAGCUGGUCGGAGAGGACGAUCAGCCACACUGGAACUGAGACACGGUCCAGACUCCUACGGGAGGCAGCAGUGGGGAAUAUUGGACAAUGGGCGAAAGCCUGAUCCAGCCAUGCCGCGUGAGUGAUGAAGGCCUUCGGGUUGUAAAGCUCUGUCGUGGGGGAAGAAGUUCUGACGGUACCCCACAAAAAAGCACCGGCUAACUCCGUGCCAGCAGCCGCCGUAACAC